rnacentral:rRNA from 1 species
UACGGGGGGGGGCAAGCGUUGUUCGGAAUUACUGGGCGUAAAGGGCGCGUAGGCGGCCUUCUAAGUCGGACGUGAAAUCCCUCGCUUAACCGAGGAACUGCGUCCGAUACUGAAAGGCUUGAAUCCGGGAGAGGGAUGUGGAAUUCCAGGUGUAGCGGUGAAAUGCGCAGAUAUCGUUUGGAACGCCAACGGUGAAAACAGACAGCUGGGAGUGUGCUGACGCUGAGACACGAAAGCCAGGGGAGCGAACGGG